AGACCAUGUUGUGGACAUCACCUAAAAAGAUCUUUGUACCUUUCCCAAGCUUUAUAUAAUGUUUCCCCAUCUUGUUGAGUGAAAGAAGCUUUGUCAUGUUGAAGUUU